UUUCUUCAUAAAAUUCUGAGAUAUGGGAAAAAAUUAAUUUUAACGGCCAGAUGACCUUAUUUUCAUCUACGUUUGUGACAUCACUCAGAACAGGUCACUUCGAAGACUUUCCGUCACGUAAUUCGAAUCCCAGGUCAGUGACAGUGUUCGACGAGGCCCGUUUAGGUCACUCGUUACGAGAGAGGCUCUUUGAAAUGGCUGAAGCACAAGCGUGAGUGGAAUAUCAAUUCUCGGUUAUUAACUCUUGUAGAGCAGCCAUGAGGUUCGAAAUGGAACCUGCAGAUGGUAAUAAGCAGAAAGUAGACGUGAAGAUCGAAAUGGAACCUGCGGAUAAAAAUAAGCAGAAAGCAGCCAUGAAUAUCGAAAUAAAACCUGUAGAUGGAAAUAAGCAGCGGAUCAAAAUAAAACCUAAAGAUGGAAAUAUGCAGAUGAUCGUAGUUUUGUCGUUCGCACGGGUCUGCCGCUUCAUGUUCUUCAUCUUGGCAAUAACUGUUCUUGCCUUUUUGAGCGCUGUUCGCACCACUGCCAUGCUGGUGUUGCUGGUGGUAACGCUCGCUUUUGUAUGCCCGUUACUGUUUGUGUGCUUGGAAUGUUACCAGUCCUGGUUCCUCUCGACUGAGUGGUUAAGAGACCCCAGUUUCUGUAGACCUAUGAAUGCGUUUUUCUUUUUAACGGAGUGUAUAUUUUUUCUAUAAUGGCAGCUAAAUUUUUUACUUUUUGUUUUACAAUGAGCUAACGUUAGGCUUCUUUUGUUUUGUCUUUCCUCCAGACCCACUUGUCAUUAAUCUUGUUUUUCAACCAGGCAAAAUAUUAACUAUAGCCUAGUGUUAAUAGUUACUUAAUACUUCAGAAAUUCCCUUUAUGGUAAAAGAUUGUUCUCCUCUUGUUAAGAAAGGAAUAAAACAUGAAAUAUGUUAAA